CCCUUAGAUGUUCUGGGCAGCACGCGCGCUACAAUGGUCUUCGCAAACGGAUGCAUUCUCGAAGGAGAAUGCCAAUCUUGGAAUCUAUGCCUUGGUCGGGACAGUUGCUUGCAAUUUUUCGACUCGAACCAGGAAUUCCUUGUAAUCGUGAUUCAUCACAUCACGAUGAAUACGUCCCUGCCCUUUGUACACACCGCCCGUCGCUCUUACCGAUUGAGUGAUCUGGUGAAUAAUUCGGAUUGCGGCAUUGACCGGUUCCCGAUCGUUGCUGCGGGAAGUUUAGUGAACCUUAUCACUUAGAGGAAGGAGAAGUCGUAACA
rnacentral:rRNA from 1 species